rnacentral:rRNA from 1 species
CCUACGGGAGGCAGCAGUGAGGAAUAUUGGUCAAUGGACGCAAGUCUGAACCAGCCAUGCCGCGUGCAGGAAGACGGCUCUAUGAGUUGUAAACUGCUUUUGUACGAGGGUAAACGCAGAUACGCGUAUCUGUCUGAAAGUAUCGUACGAAUAAGGAUCGGCUAACUCCGUGCCAGCAGCCGCGGUAAUACGGAGGAUUCAAGCGUUAUCCGGAUUUAUUGGGGUUAAAGGGUGCGUAGGCGGUCGGAUAAGUUAGAGGUGAAAUCCCCGGGCUCAACUUCGGAAUUGCCUCUGAUACUGUUCGGCUAGAGAGUAGUUGCGGUAGGCGGAAUGUAUGGUGUAGCGGUGAAAUGCUUAGAGAUCAUACAGAACACCGAUUGCGAAGGCAGCUUACCAAGCUACUUCUGACGCUGAUGCUCGAAAGCGCGGGUAUCGAACAGGAUUAGAUACCCCAGUAGUC